rnacentral:rRNA from 1 species
UAGAUACCCUGGUAGUCCACGCAGUAAACGAUGAUAACUCGUUGUCGGCGAUACACAGUCGGUGACUAAGCGAAAGCGAUAAGUUAUCCACCUGGGGAGUACGUUCGCAAGAAUGAAACUCAAAGGAAUUGACGGGGGCCCGCACAAGCGGAGGAACAUGUGGUUUAAUUCGAUGAUACGCGAGGAACCUUACCCGGGCUUGAAAGUUAGCGACAGACAUUGAAAGAUGUUUUCCCUACGGGGCGCGAAACUAGGUGCUGCAUGGUUGUCGUCAGCUCGUGCCGUGAGGUGUCGGGUUAAGUCCCAUAACGAGCGCAACCCCUACCGUUAGUUGCCAUCAGGUCGAGCUGGGCACUCUGGCGGGACUGCCGGUGUAAGCCGAGAGGAAGGUGGGGAUGACGUCAAAUCAGCACGGCCCUUACGUCCGGGGCUACACACGUGUUACAAUGGUAGGUACAGAGGGCAGCUACCCUGCGAAGGGAUGCGAAUCUCGAAAGCCUAUCUCAGUUCGGAUUGGAGGCUGAAACCCGCCUCCAUGAAGUUGGAUUCGCUAGUAAUCGCGCAUCAGCCAUGGCGCGGUGAAUACGUUCCCGGGCCUUGUACACACCGCCCGUCAAGCCAUGGGAGCUGGGGGUGCCUGAAGUUCGUGACCGCGAGGAGCGACCUAGGGCAAAACCGGUGACUGGGGCUAAGUCGUAACAA